CAGCAAUUGAGAUGAGUAUUGAGGUAUUCUAUUUGUGUGUUUUCAGUAGAAAAAGAAGUUAGAACGGACAAGGAAAAAUAAGUAACGAGAAAGGAGAAUUAUUAAAGGUUUGUGCACAACUAACCUUUUCUUCAUUUUUAAACUUGUAAAUUGUUUGGAAUGUGUUUAUUUGAAUGAAUUUGCUUUGAACAAGUUUACUUUGACUGAAAUAUGAUUUUUCUCUUGCAUUUAAGAAAUUUGGGUGUUGCCACCUCUAUAUGGGUUUUAUGAUGAUUUGAAUGUGUUUAUUGGGUUGCAAAUGUGAUUGUUGAUUCAGAAACUUUUGAAAAUUGUUUUGAAAUCACAGUUAGCAUGACAGUCCCUUUUGGAGCUCCCCAGUAGUAACAGCUACUUGGGGUUUGAUAUUUUAUUAUGAUUAUGUCCCCCAGUAAUAACUGUUAGUGGGGUGAGACUAUAUGAGUACUCAUUAGCUAG
rnacentral:misc_RNA from 1 species